rnacentral:rRNA from 1 species
CUCUAAUGAGACUGCCGGUGACAAACCGGAGGAAGGUGGGGAUGACGUCAAGUCCUCAUGGCCCUUAUAGGUGGGGCUACACACGUCAUACAAUGGCUGGUACAAAGGGUUGCCAACCCGCGAGGGGGAGCUAAUCCCAUAAAACCAGUCGUAGUCCGGAUCGCAGUCUGCAACUCGACUGCGUGAAGUCGGAAUCGCUAGUAAUCGUGGAUCAGAAUGUCACGGUGAAUACGUUCCCGGGUCUUGUACACACCGCCCGUCACACCAUGGGAGCGGGUUCUGCCAGAAGUAGUUAGCUUAACCGCAAGGAGGGCGAUUACCACGGCAGGGUUCGUGACUGGGGUG